GCUAAGAAUAUUCCGCAAUGGGGGAAACCCUGACGGAGCGACGCCGCGUGGACGAGGAAGGCCGGAAGGUUGUAAAGUCCUUUUGAACCGGAAGAAUAAGCAGUGCAGGGAAUGGCAGUGUGGUGACGGUACGGUUUGAAUAAGAGGCGGCUAAUUACGUGCCAGCAGCCGCGGUAACACGUAAGCCUCGAGCGUUGUUCGGAAUUAUUGGGCGUAAAGGGCAUGUAGGCGGUAAUCUAAGCUUGGUGUGAAAGGCAGGGGCUUAACUCCUGGACAGCAUUGAGAACUGGAUUGCUAGAGUUACUGAAGUGAAAUCAGAAUUCCAGGUGUAGGGGUGAAAUCUGUAGAUAUCUGGAAGAAUACCAAUGGCGAAGGCAGGUUUCAGGCAGAUAACUGACGCUGAGGUGCGAAGGUGCGGGGAGCAAACAGGAUUAGAAACCCUAGUAGUCC
rnacentral:rRNA from 1 species